GUGGGCGGGGCUAUGGGGCUUCAUACAGGUGUAGAAGGGUGUAACAUGGCGUCACAGGGGAGUGGGCGGGGCUACAGGGCUUCAUACAGGUGUAGAAGGGUGUAACAUGGCGUCACUGGGGAGUGGGCGGGGCUACAGGGCUUCAUACAGGUGUAGAAGGGUGUAACAUGGCGUCACAGGGGAGUGGGCGGGGCUACUGGGGUUCAUACAGGUGUAGAAGGGUGUAACAUGGCGUCACAGGGGAGUGGGCGGGGCUACAGGGGUUCAUACAGGUGUAGAAGGGUGUAACAUGGCGUCACAGGGGAGUGGGCGGGGCUACUGGGGUUCAUACAGGUGUAGAAGGGUGUAACAUGGCGUCACAGGGGAGUGGGCGGGGCUACUGGGGUUCAUACAGGUGUAGAAGGGUGUAACAUGGCGUCACUGGGGAGUGGGCGGGGCUAUGGGGCUUCAUACAGGUGUAGAAGGGUGUAACAUGGCGUCACUGGGGAGUGGGCGGGGCUACAGGGCUUCAUACAGGUGUAGAAGGGUGUAACAUGGCGUCACUGGGGAGUGGGCGGGGCUACUGGGGUUCAUACAGGUGUAGAAGGGUGUAACAUGGCGUCACUGGGGAGUGGGCGGGGCUACAGGGCUUCAUACAGGUGUAGAAGGGUGUAACAUGGCGUCACUGGGGAGUGGGCGGGGCUACUGGGCUUCAUACAGGUGUAGAAGGGUGUAACAUGGCGUCACAGGGGAGUGGGCGGGGCUACAGGGGUUCAUACAGGUGUAGAAGGGUGUAACAUGGCGUCACAGGGGAGUGGGCGGGGCUACUGGGCUUCAUACAGGUGUAGGAGGGUGUAACAUGGCGUCACAGGGGAGUGGGCGGGGCUACUGGGGUUCAUACAGGUGUAGAAGGGUGUAACAUGGCGUCACUGGGGAGUGGGCGGGGCUACUGGGGUUCAUACAGGUGUAGAAGGGUGUAACAUGGCGUCACUGGGGAGUGGGCGGGGCUAUGGGGCUUCAUACAGGUGUAGAAGGGUGUAACAUGGCGUCACUGGGGAGUGGGCGGGGCUAUGGGGCUUCAUACAGGUGUAGAAGGGUGUAACAUGGCGUCACAGGGGAGUGGGCGGGGCUACUGGGGUUCAUACAGGUGUAGAAGGGUGUAACAUGGCGUCACUGGGGAGUGGGCGGGGCUACAGGGCUUCAUACAGGUGUAGAAGGGUGUAACAUGGCGUCACUGGGGAGUGGGCGGGGCUACUGGGCUUCAUACAGGUGUAGAAGGGUGUAACAUGGCGUCACAGGGGAGUGGGCGGGGCUACUGGGGUUCAUACAGGUGUAGAAGGGUGUAACAUGGCGUCACUGGGGAGUGGGCGGGGCUACAGGGCUUCAUACAGGUGUAGAAGGGUGUAACAUGGCGUCACUGGGGAGUGGGCGGGGCUACUGGGGUUCAUACAGGUGUAGAAGGGUGUAACAUGGCGUCACUGGGGAGUGGGCGGGGCUAUGGGGCUUCAUACAGGUGUAGAAGGGUGUAACAUGGCGUCACUGGGGAGUGGGCGGGGCUACAGGGCUUCAUACAGGUGUAGAAGGGUGUAACAUGGCGUCACUGGGGAGUGGGCGGGGCUACUGGGGUUCAUACAGGUGUAGAAGGGUGUAACAUGGCGUCACAGGGGAGUGGGCGGGGCUACAGGGCUUCAUACAGGUGUAGAAGGGUGUAACAUGGCGUCACUGGGGAGUGGGCGGGGCUACAGGGCUUCAUACAGGUGUAGAAGGGUGUAACAUGGCGUCACUGGGGAGUGGGCGGGGCUACUGGGGUUCAUACAGGUGUAGAAGGGUGUAACAUGGCGUCACUGGGGAGUAUGACAGCUGUCAAAAAGGGCAUAAGGCACAACCAUUAGCAACAUUUUUCGCAUAGUGUCAAAACAGCUGUCAAAAAGUUUGACAGUUCAUAAUUUAUUUAAUUAAAAUAAAAAUAUGACAAAAUUUGUUGAAUUUUUUUA